rnacentral:lncRNA from 1 species
AGAUUGCAGAGACAAAGAGCCAUUCCGCUCUAUCAGAUGUCCCAGUCGAGCUUCAGCCGUCAGGCCCAAACUCUCUGGCAAGUCACGAUAAUGGCCACUACACCACUUCACUCUCUGUAACAGAUUCCACAUGGCCCCACCACUCUCUGACAAGUCACGACAACGGACACCACUCCAUUCUCCAUAACAAACUCUACGUGGCCCUAAACGGCCCCCUGAUGCCACUACUCUCCGUAACAAACUCCG